GACGAACGCUGGCGGCGUGCCUAAUACAUGCAAGUCGAGCGAAGUUUUUCUGGUGCUUGCACUAGAAAAACUUAGCGGCGAACGGGUGAGUAACACGUAAAGAACCUGCCUCAUAGACUGGGACAACUAUUGGAAACGAUAGCUAAUACCGGAUAACAGUAUUUCUCGCAUGAGAGAUAUUUAAAAGUUGGUUAUGCUAACACUAUGAGAUGGCUUUGCGGCGCAUUAGCUAGUUGGUGGGGUAAAGGCCCACCAAGGCGACGAUGCAUAGCCGACCUGAGAGGGUGAUCGGCCACACUGGGACUGAGACACGGCCCAGACUCCUACGGGAGGCAGCAGUAGGGAAUCUUCCGCAAAGGGCGAAAGCCUGACGGAGCAACGCCGCGUGAGUGAAGAAGGAUUUCGGUUCGUAAAGCUCUGUUGUUAGGGAAGAAUGGAUAUGUAGUAACUAUACAUGUAAGAGACGGUACCUAACCAGAAAGCCACGGCUAACUACGUG
rnacentral:rRNA from 1 species